AUGACCCCGGACUCCGGCUCCAUCCCACUCAAAACUCAGCACUGCGGAGCAGAUGCACUGGAGGGAGGGCUUCCGUCUACCCACCCGGCCUUACCUCCCCCAGCUCGGCAGCCUCCUCGUCUGAGCUGCCUGGAGCACAGUUCACACCUAGGAAAGGCAUUUUCACCUCUGUGGCGGACUUCCUCCUUUGUAAAUAGGAGAGCCAGAGCAUGCCUCCUCUCUCCUCUGGCCCCUGCGGUGGCAGAAGUCAGGCCCCCUGAGCCUGCAGCCUGUCCGAUCUGGCCUGUCCCCCCAGAGGCCCUGGCUCCUGGUCUGGAAGGGAGGCGGCCUCCAGCCAGCAUGCACAGAUUGCUGGGGCUGGGAGCCGGGAAGGACAGCUUGGUUCUCUUCUUUGGGGAGAACGUAGAGUUUCAUGCUAGAUGUUUUAUGUAUUAUAUCUAUAAUAUAAACAUAUCAAAGUAAGUUUUGGUGUCUUUUUAAAACCAGAAAAGCUACUUCCAAGGUUUUCCGUGGGCCAGGUCACAUUUGUAAAUAACCACGGCGUAUUCCUGGCUGAGACCCUGACUUUCAUUAGCCCCCCCCACCCUGAGCCCCUCUUUACAUGAAGGGUAACUUCUCCCAACCAAGGCAAAUAGAUGGCAGAAGGAAGGCUCCAAGCUGAGAAAGCCCAAAGCCUGAAGAGAGAGUCUCCCUGGGGGGCGAGAGUUUGAGGGGGGUUCAUAGGGCCUUGGUGUGGCCUCUCACGGGCCCCUGGGAGGAGCAGAGUGCCACGGGCUCUCUGGGACUUGAACAGGCCUGGCUCAGUGGCUGCAGGCUCCGGGGGCCCUUCGGCCACUUUUGCUUCUAGAUCACUCACAGCUCUGGCUCUGUAGCAGCCUUGCUCAUACCUGUCCUGCCUUACCCACCAGUAGGACACCGGGAGGGCAGGGGGAGGCCUCAAGCAGGAUGCCCCUCGGCCCUCCUCACUUGCUCUGGGCUGUGUGGCUCUAGCCUACCCCAGCAGGGUCCCAAAGGGCAGCCUGGAGGCUGAACACCCCUCCGCCCCACCUUCCAUACCUGUCCCAGCCGACCCCGGGGAAGGAGACCCGCGGCAGGCCUGCGGUGGGUACGUGGUCCUUCACACAUACCCCCUGGCAAGGAGCCAGCGCCGGUAUCCACCCUGCCCGCCGUGCCCACCCUGGACCAAGUCCCCCACUCAGACAACGGCCUUGCGAGGUCAGGCACCCCGGCGCCCCCUUAGCCACAGUGGUAGCCAACCAGAGGGGCCCCCGCUCACGCCUGCUAGAACCAGGCCCGGCAGGAUAUAGCACAGGAGCUGGCUGGGUUUUCAGAGCUUACUCUCGCUGAGGGUAAAAGGCAGAUGCUCUUUACCUUCUAUUUUCACCCCCAGAGGAUUCACUGGAGCAGCUUACCGUGUAUGCCAAUGUGGGCUGGGACAGUUUCAAGAAAUUACACACUCCUUUUCAAUUCUGAGAGCUUUAGCUUUACCUGCCCGUGUGGUUAACAGGGGUGCCUUGCCCCUUUCCCGCCCCGGCCCCCGCCCUCUCUGUCCUGUGUCUUGCCGCCUCCUCGCCCAUGGCCGCUCCUGGCAGAGGAAAGGCCACGAGCCCAGUGUGGAGGCGGCUGCCUGCCCCACCGCCCUGGGAACCAAGGAGGCAGAGCCCCACCGCCUGCCUGGAGGCCUAGGGCAGGCCACGGCUUGCUAGGCCCCAGCAAACCCUCUCUGAGUUCAGUGCCUAAUUCCAGUUUUUCUUGUUUGAGGGGGCCAAACAGCCUCCCCCCUUGCCCCCAGAAGGGAUCCCAGGACGAGCAGGGGAGGGCCACCUCUCCUGCCCGCCCUCCUCCCUCUCCCCUCCCACUGCCUCAUCUCCUGGGGUUUCCUCUUUCAAAGCUGUCAGCCUACUAAGGGGCGCCCCUCCUACUAUACACCCUGAGGUCCAGGGCAGACUUGGUUGGGGACAAGACGGAUCCGACCAAAGCCAAGCCCAGGGAAGGACUGGGGCCAGCGGGGGGCCCCCAAGGGACAGAGCAGCCGGCCAUAGGGAGGGGGCAGUGUUGGGCAAACCUGCCUGGCUUGUGCUCUGUGCCUGGCCAGAGGGGCCUCCGGGGCAGAGCUGCUCCUUGCCACCCACUGCUUCCUGCAGGGCCCCCAUGGUUCCCCUCCCGACUGCAGCCUUUGUGAAGAACCACUCCAAGAGCCUGGCACUGAACACACCCCAAGUAUUUAUUGGGUGCCUACUGUGUGCCAGGGCCUGUGCCAAGGAUGGGUCACUCAGCUGGAGAUGAGCAGACUUGGCUCCUACUCUCCGGAGCUCACAGUCUUGUGGUCCCAAGAUGUUUUAAGGGUGACAAGUGCAAUAAAGGGAAGCUCAAAGUGUGACUACACGCCACCAGGGAAGGCUUCCUGGAGGCAGCAGUCUGAUCCAAGACCUGGUCGUGGACCCAGUCCAACGUGCCUGGAUGCCUCUGCCUUGUACUCUCUCAGGACAGGGAGCAGGGACCUCACCCCUCGGUGGGCCACCAAGACCUGAGCCUGCCCCACCGACCAGGCUCAGGUUCUGGUGGCCCCUGAGAGUGCUGUUCAGAGGAGCCAGUCUCCAGGGAAGAAGCAAAGGUAAAAGGGAGAGAGGGAGGUGCUCCUUCGCUGCCGAAUGCCUCCUGAUGGCUUAGCACUGUCACGGAUGUCACCCAUAUCUCCUGGAUCUCCUGGGAAUUUGUGAACGUGGGGUUUGGCUCUGACACCUGUGAUGAGCCACUGGGACCGGUGAGGAGUGUCUGCCGCUCCCAGGUCUCCCGCCCCCUCCUUCCCAGGCAGGAACCUGCCAGGCCUCCUCCAGAAGCUGCUGAUUUCAUGGGAGGAGAGGGGGCCGCGGGGAGAGAAAGGGAAGCCAUUAAAGGGAGAGCAGAGACCCUGACCUUGCUCUUCCCUGAGGCCUGUCCUUCCAGGCACCCACAGGCCUUCUGCAGACACGGGGUAGGGUCCUUGCCUGGACGGUGGCUCUGUCCCAUUUGUUUAUUUCCUAUGCUGGUGGGUGGGGGAAGGCCUUUCUCUUCUCUGCCUUAAAUAGAACUAAACCACCAGCACCUUUGAAAGAUCUUUCUUGUCUCUCUGAAAGAUUAUGCUGUCUCCCUUCUCUUGACACCCCCCCCCACUUCUCCCCUCCCCCAGCCCCUCUCUGUGCAUGGAGCAUUUGACGUAAGCAGAGACAUAGGAAAGAUACCAAUUCACUAUCAAAGCAUCCUAGCCCCAUCCCAGAGCAAUUAAAAAGCCAGAUGGAAUCUCUGGGAAAACGGCAUUAAUAACGCAAACAAUCUGUGCAGGCCGGCAGGGACCCAGGAGCUGCAGGGGGGGGCAGUGGGGGCUGGGAUGCAGGAGCGCGAGCUCACGAGCAACGCUUCAGCCACGUUGUGGCCAGCCGGGGAUGGGGCCAUCACAGGGGUAUGCCUAGAUCUGGCCGCAGCUGGGCUCUCCCCUCCAGCCCCCUGCAAGGCCCGCUGCGCAUCCUGAGUCCUGGUCACUGCAGACGGAGACAGACAAAUGUGGAACCCAUUACUCAAGCAGCCACAGCCCCAGCCGGCCCCAUUCUGGCACCCAAGAGCUUUGCUUCCCUUCACUUUUGUUUUUAUUUAUUAUUUUCUUAGGCUUCUGGCCCCACCCACUAGGAAUAGGACUCCCUAAGCGAUAGCUUCCGGAGAUCUCCUUUCUCUUCAUUCGCCGUGCCCAAGCCCACUGCCCAUGCCUGGCAACAGCAGACAAUGGUGUUGGG
ensembl:lncRNA